rnacentral:rRNA from 1 species
UACGAAGGGUGCAAGCGUUAUUCGGAUUUAUUGGGCGUAAAGGGUUCGUAGGCGGGAGAUCAAGUCAAGUGUGAAAUGUCCGGGCUUAACCUGGAGAGUGCAUUUGAAACUGGUUUUCUUGAGUGUUGAAGAGGGUGGUGGAAUUGCUGGUGUAGGAGUGACAUCCGUAGAGAUCAGCAGGAACAUCGGAGGCGAAGGCGGCCACCUGGUCAAUCACUGACGCUGAGGAACGAAAGCAUGGGGAGCAAACAGG